CUUGUGUAGCAGGAUGACUGCUUUUCCAGUGGCUCCGCCCACUCGCAGUAUUGUGCCCCUUUAAUUUAUUAUAUAAGGAGGGACCUGUAGAUCUGCUCGCUCUCUGACAGCUGAUACGCACCUCCCCCUUCCGGGUUUACCUGGCUGCAGGUUCGGCAGACGCUCGGCACUCUCUGCAGGGUUGUGCAAAUUGUUCCACCGUGCAGGUGCUGAGGGCCUCACUGGUGAUCCUGUUUGGUGAUGGUGUCCCUUCGUGUGUAGUGUCUUAUUCACUCCCCUCCUUUGUUUUGCUUUGCCCUUGUGUGUUUGGAGUGUUAAUUUUGGAUUGUGGUGCUCCCAUUUUAAGUUUAUACUUUCACCCCUCACUCACCUUGAGCACAAAUGCCCCAGCCCUGGAAUACAUGAUAAUUUAUACAAAUAGGAUAACUUUUUUUAGAUUUGAAUUGUGCCCAAUAAACUGUUGUAUAUGCUUUUGGAAACACGUCUCUCGCCUGCUCAGUGUAACGAACUUGUGGUGUCCUUUUGUUUAGAUUUAGUAAUUUACCUUAUUCAUAGAUUUCUUUCUUUUCCCUGGGUGAUUUCUCCCAGGGUGGCGUUGCUGGUUUCCUUUAGUUUCUUUCUUUUUCCCCUAGUUAAAAAC
ensembl:lncRNA